rnacentral:rRNA from 1 species
CCUACGGGCGGCAGCAGAGGGGAAUAUUGCACAAUGGGCGCAAGCCUGAUGCAGCCAUGCCGCGUGUGUGAAGAAGGCCUUCGGGUUGUAAAGCACUUUCAGCGGGGAGGAAGGCGGUGAGGUUAAUAACCUCAUCGAUUGACGUUACCCGCAGAAGAAGCACCGGCUAACUCCGUGCCAGCAGCCGCGGUAAUACGGAGGGUGCAAGCGUUAAUCGGAAUUACUGGGCGUAAAGCGCACGCAGGCGGUCUGUCAAGUCGGAUGUGAAAUCCCCGGGCUCAACCUGGGAACUGCAUUCGAAACUGGCAGGCUAGAGUCUUGUAGAGGGGGGUAGAAUUCCAGGUGUAGCGGUGAAAUGCGUAGAGAUCUGGAGGAAUACCGGAGGCGAAGGCGGCCCCCUGGACAAAGACUGACGCUCAGGUGCGAAAGCGUGGGGAGCAAACAGGAUUAGAUACCCUUGUAGUC